rnacentral:lncRNA from 1 species
AAUCAGAUGCACUCAUGUGUGAUUUAGAAGGCGAGCAGGCCUUUGGGAUUUUCUGCUGGUAAGGAUGGCUUUGGAGAUGCUGGGUCUCCGCGGGCUUGCUUCUGGCCCUGGGCCUCAGGCUCCAGGCUCCAGCCUCAGGGCCUCGACCAGUAGCUCUGCAGCUGAAGCGGUUUCCAAUCCCUGGGUCACAGCUGAAAGGUCAUGUUCUUGAACUAGCAGUUCCAGCGGUGGUUGUGAUCCCCUAAUGUCAGACGGUAGCACAGCUGGGGCCAGGUUCCGCCGUGUUUUUCUGAGCUCAUCCUGGAGGCUCAGCCCAGACCCACUCCACCAGCCCACGCAAAGAUUUUGUAGCACCCAAGGCCCUGUAUUUUUUUUUAAGAUUUUAUUUAUUUAUUCAUGAGAGACAGAGAGAGGCAGAGGGAGAAGCAGGCUCCGUGCAGGGAGCCCGACUCAGGACUCGAUCCCGGGUCUCCAGGAUCAGGCCCUGGGCUGAAGGCGGCGCUAAACCCAUGAGCCACCCGGGCUGCCCCCAAGUCCCUGUAUUAAAUCUCCCCUCCUGCUUAAAAUACCUACCUAGAGUGACUUCUGUUCCCUCUAACAGGAGACACAAGGCAGAGAACAAAAGAAUGAAUGAAAUGCAGAUGAAGUGCCUGGCAUGGGUGUUGCAGCCUUGCUGCAGACAGAGAAGAGAAGCAGAGAGGAAGCAAAUAAAGCAGUGCGGUGCCAUGGGGAGAGCAUGGAUCCUGGGGAUGCCAGGUCAGACAGGUGAGACUCCAGACCUCGUGUGGCUUAUACUCUGGCAAGGGACACAGAUAAACAAGUGGAUAAAAUAAUUUCCAAAAGUGAUAAGUGCUGCCAAAAGGAUGGUAGCAUUGGAAUAAAAAGUGACAGGUUGGCCCAGAGAGGCCUCUCAGAGGAGGUGACAAUUGGAUUGUUAAUGGAAGGAUGAGGAUGCAGCCAUGGGAGGAUCUGAAGGAAAGAAGCAAAGUUUCUUUGCUUUCAUCCAAACCAGUGCAAAGUUCUCAGGGCAGGAAAGGACUUGACAUGUCCAGGGAGCACACAGAUGCAGGAUGGCUAUGAUAGAUAAGCAAGAGAAGAAGGGAGGAGACAGGGUCCCAGAGGAAGGCUGAAGAGGACAUGAAAACUCUCAAUCAACCAGAGCCUUUGAUUAACCAGAGCGUCCUUCCCUCCAUGCUCAAGCAUUAAUGCCAUUCAUUACUUUGGUAAAUGAGUGAGUAGUGUGUUAAAACUCAGACAUCCUAAGUUCUGGCUCCCUAGGAAAGAUGUGUAGCUGGGGAAGGGAGCUGAAUCAAAUAAAGACAGGGAUUACUGGCUACCAAACACCAGACAGAAGGGGCUAAACAUCCUUCUCAAUGGAAGGAAGUGAAGGGUAAGGAUGGGGGUGGAGGGAGAAAAUUUCCAGAGGAUUCCACGUCAGAUUCCAAAUGAAGCAGGACUUUUCUGGUGGCAGGUGACAGUGACCUAACCUGAACUGGUCUAAAAUGAGCAUUAUUGACAUAAGUAGCUGAAAAACUCAGAUGCGGAUUAAGCCCAAAUUAAGAAGGUUUCUCAACACCAUAACGGUGUUCCCAGCUCUUUCAGCUUGGCUCACCUUCUCUGGUGGCCUCUCUCUCCUCCUGGUGGAGAGAGGGCUGCUGUAGUUCCAGCCCUUACAUCUGCUCAGCCAUCAGAGGCCAUCAGAAACAGGAAUGUCUCCAGUGGACUCAGAUCAAAACCAUUUCUGUGCCUAUUGUGGUGGGCAGGGGAAUGCAGGGCAUUGGCUAGCUGUGGCUGGGGGGUGGUCCACCCCAGGAUCAGCGGGGAGCCAGUCCCAGGCAAUCACAUGGGCCCAGAGUUGGGGAGGGGAGUGAUCAUUCCCAGGGUGAAUGGAGUGAGUUAUCAAAAAAAGAGGGAAUGGAUGCUGUCCACCAAGGACUUCCAACAAAGAGCCACCAAAACUACAAUACUACUACCACUAAUCAUGGUCAUCAUCAUUCUCAUCCACUGAGCACUGGCUCCAUGUCUGAACCAGCUGGGUACCUUACAUAUAUUAACUUAGGCAGUGCUCAUAACUUCUUAAGGGAAGUGUUCUUCAUUCCCUCUUGCAACAGUUGUUUAUCAAGCACCUUCUGAGGACCUUCCAGGUGUCACGGGCACAACCAUCAACAAAGCAGCAAGCCUCGACACCUUCAAUCUUCCAUGCUGACAUUACCGCAAGAAGGAGCUACAGAAGCAAGGUUCAUGAAGCCUGGCCAUGCCUGGGAGACACUGAAGCAGGAAGGGGCGCGGAGGAGGGUUUAAACAAAGAAGGUGACAUUUGAGGAGAACCUCAAAGGAUGUGAGGAAGCAAACCUUGGUGGUGCCUGAGGUGAGCACCUUCCAGGAAGAGGGAGCAGCCAUUGCAAAGGCCCUGGGGCAGGGCCUUGCCGGUGUGUAUGAGGUACAGAAGGAAGUCACUGUGUGUGUGUGUGUGUGUGUGUGUGUGUGGAGGGGGUGUGGUUGAGGGUGAGUAGUAGGAAAGCAGGGGAGGGCUUUCCCUCUCUGGAUGACACGGGGGGCCUUGGGAGAGUUUUGAGCAGAGGGAAGACUGGAUGAAAUGGGAUACUGCCACCUGCUGUGGGGAGAAAAGUUUGUGGUUGGAACACAGGGACUUAGGCAGGAGGUGGGGAGCCCAGGGAGGGCUGGGGCUGGGUGGUGGCAGGGGGUGGGCAAAGGAUUCUAUGCGGGCAGUGUUGGUGGGCAGAUUGGAUAAUGGGGUGAGGGAAAAAGAUGUCCUUAUACAGAUGAGAAGGCAGAGCACAGGAUCUUAAGAAACUUGUCCUGGACUCUGAGUCCACCUUGGCAGGCUGUGCGCAGUCAAGGCACCUGCCUGGCAGUGGGGACACCCAGAGGAAGGGGCUGCCUAUUUCUAAUGAACUGGCGCUGGCCCUGCCUGUGAGAGGCCGCGUCCUGCCCCCUGACCCCACGGAGGACAGCAGGCAUGCUCACAGGUAACCACUGACUGUCCCCUUGUCCCCUGGGGAUGCUGGUCCAGGAGGGCUGGGCCCAGCGGAGAGCAAAGGAGUGGGGGCUGCCCAGGCUCUCCAGAGAGAAACCCAGAGGGACAGAAAGCAGAGGCUGCUGUGUUUUUCAGGAAGGAAAUCUUCGCUGCUGUAACAGUCUGGGAGUCUCGGCUCGGCCCAGCAGUCCAGCCCGGCAGGAAGUGCCCCCUCCCGCCGGCUCGCUGGUCCCAGGCAAACACUUUUGAGGACAGGAAGGGGAGAGGUGAGGUGAGUAUCAAAGCAGCUGUGGAAUUCGGGGGCGGGCCCACCAAGGGGGUCCUGGCCAUCUUAAGUGCUGAUGGUGACUUCCAAGACCCCAGAUCAUGAGCAGCUGGGGGGCCGGGGUGGGUGGGGGUGGGGUGGCCGGGCCCUGGGCCCUGGGCCCAGCCCCACAAUGCAGCGCAUUACCCAGCCGGAAUUCCUGCAGGACGCUUUGUUCUACAUGGCGGCCCUGCUAGGGCCAUCAGGCCUGGGCCGUGGCCUGGGGGGCAGGCCAGAAUGAGGCCUCAGGAAGCCCUCAGCCGGUUCCAGGGCUGGGCACUGCCUGCUGGUCCUGCCAGCCCUUUUCGGGGCACCCUCCACCCCACCGGCGCCACAGACCCCCCUGGGCACCCCGCCCUGGAGCCACCUGGAAACUGGGCCCGGUCCAGCCGGACAGGCGUGUUAACUCCAGCUGGGGGGCUUUGCUGAGGCCACCCCAGUUUCCUGAGGCUGUGCCCACUGCCUACCACCGAUCCCAACUAAUUCCCACCAGGCAGUUUCCCCAGCCCUCCCCCAGCCUCUCCCCUCCCUGCCCCUCCUCCUCCCCCCUCCCCACUGCAAUCUGCCCUGGGGGCAUUCCCUGGCCGGUUCACAGUGGAAACUGCAGACCUGACCCAGGAGGCCACAGGCUCCCCGCCCCUAUGCCCCGUAGAUGUCUGUCACAGAUGCAGUAAAUGCAGUAAAGCAGGGACACCCACGGGAGGAGAAACAUUCAGCUUUGGGGAACUGAUGCAGAAUUAUGCAAUCAGAAAAAUCUGGAGGCAAAGCAUGUUCAUUUCAGCACUGAGUUUCGGUGUUACUUUGAUUUGUGGAAUUUGCUAGACCAGACACAUAGGGCGCUUACUCUGAGCAGGGCACUGUGCUAAGCUCUUCACCUGUACCGAGGCACCAGCAAUGGCAGUAGCUCCACGCUUUGAUGAAGGAGUAGACUGAACCACAGACAGGGGGACAAGAUGCCCAGAGGCGGAAAGUUGCAGACUUAGGAUUCGACCCUGGUGUUCAACUCUGCUUUGCAUCCCCAAGUUCUUAGCCACUAAGGCCUCCGGCUUUCCCUUCCCCUGCCAACCUCAGAGGAGUAAAGCCCCCAUCUUUCCAGGGAGAGGAGGUUAUUCUUCAGAACUGUGUAAGGUGGAGGGGUGUAUGUGUGUGUGAAUGUGCAUGUGUGACAGUGUGUGUGUGUGUGUGUGUGCAUGCGGGAGUGUCUGGGAGUUGUAACAGUGAGUGUAUUGUGUGAACGAGCAUAUAUGUGUGAGUGUGUGUGUGUUUGAGUGGGGUGUGGGUAGGGGUGUGUGUGGUGCGCGUGGGGUGUGAGUGGGUGUAUCGUGAGCACACUGCGCCUGUGUGCGCGGCAGCCCAGCCCGGGAACUCCUGAGAAGAGCUGUGAGGAAAGAGGGAGUAGGGCAGGGGUGAGACUCUGGAUGUGCCUGAAAAAAUUAAAGAGCGAUUAGUCAAAGCUGAAUUGUUUUGCU